CCAAAACUUAGCUGCUCCAGUUCAGGCUGGUUGCACGCUUCAACCCUUUGUGAACCAAAAACCUUUACGCUUCGGCAGCUGGUUUCAGCUGUAAGCCUGCCGAUGGCACCCAUUUAAACCUGUCGUUAAAUACUUGUCUGAAUUAAAUAUUUUCGAAUGAAAAUUA
rnacentral:misc_RNA from 1 species